rnacentral:rRNA from 1 species
UACGUAGGGCGCAAGCGUUAUCCGGAAUUAUUGGGCGUAAAGGAGCUCGUAGGCGGUUUGUCGCGUCUGCCGUGAAAGUCCGGGCUCAACUCCGGAUCUGCGGUGGGUACGGGCAGACUAGAGUGAUGUAGGGGAGACUGGAAUUCCUGGUGUAGCGGUGAAAUGCGCAGGAUAUCAGGAGGAACACCGAUGGCGAAGGCAGGUCUCUGGGCAUUAACUGACGCUGAGGAGCGAAAGCAUGGGGAGCGAACAGG